AGAGUUUGAUCAUGGCUCAGGAUGAACGCUGGCGGCGUGCCUAAUACAUGCAAGUCAAACGAAGAGAGAAGCUUGCUUCUCUUUUAGUGGCGAACGGGUGAGUAAUACAUAAGCAACCUACCCAUACGACCGGGAUAACAGUUGGAAACGACUGCUAAUACCGGAUAGGUGACCGGGGGACAUCCCCUGAUCAUUAAAGCUGGGACACAGCACGAAUGGAUGGGCUUAUGGCGCAUUAGUUAGUUGGCGGGGUAACGGCCCACCAAGACGAUGAUGCGUAGCCGACCUGAGAGGGUGACCGGCCACACUGGGACUGAGACACGGCCCAGACUCCUACGGGAGGCAGCAGUAGGGAAUUUUCGGCAAUGGGCGCAAGCCUGACCGAGCAACGCCGCGUGAGUGAAGAAGGCCUUCGGGUUGUAAAGCUCUGUUGUAAGGGAAGAAUGGCCAAGAGAGGGAAUGCUCUUGGAGUGACGGUACCUUACCAGAAAGCCACGGCUAACUACGUGCCAGCAGCCGCGGUAAUACGUAGGUGGCAAGCGUUAUCCGGAAUUAUUGGGCGUAAAGGGAGCGUAGCGGUUU
rnacentral:rRNA from 1 species